rnacentral:tRNA from 1 species
GCGGUACUAGCUCAGCUGGUAGAGCGUCUGCUUGCCAAGCAGAAGGCCGCCGGUUCGAGACCGGCGUACCGCACCA